AUCGCUUCACGCUGUUGGAGCGGUAGGUACGGAUCGCUUCACGCUGUUGGAGCGGUAGGUACGGUUCGCUUCACGCUGUUGGAGCGGUAGGUACGGAUCGCUUCACGCUGUUGGAGCGGUAGGUACGGAUCGCUUCACUAUGUUGGAGCGGUAGGUACGGAUCGCUUCACGCUGUUGGAGCGGUAGGUACGGAUCGCUUCACGCUGUUGGAGCGGUAGGUACGGAUCGCUUCACGCUGUUGGAGGCGGUAGGUACGGAUCGCUUCACGCUGUUGGAGCGGUAGGUACGGAUCGCUUCACGCUGUUGGAGCGGUAGGUACGGAUCGCUUCACGCUGUUGGAGCGGUAGGUACGGAUCGCUUCACGCUGUUGGACCGGUAGGUACGGUUCGCUUCACGCUGGUAGAGAGUGGUAGGUACGGGACCAAAACAAAGGAAAUUGACCCACUAUGCUGUUUACUUUCUGCAUCUACUUCAUAUAUGAGUCUACGUUUAAAUCUGUGCUCUUAAGAUAACUUUUUGUUUUAUUUAUGGUUUUUGUUUGGUUGAAUGUUUUUUAUGUGUGUGUUUGGUGUGUACGGUAUUAUGUGAGUAGAUUUUUGUUGUUUAUGUUAUGGUGGUAAUUGAUUUAUCUUUUUAAAAUAAUAUGUGUUUUGGGGGGUAUUCAAUGUGAUUGGGGCGACGUUAAGAUGGGUAAGAAAGCGUCACUGUCGGCCCAUUUAUUUGUGACUUAUUAUAAAAAGUCUGUAUCAGGAAGUUACAGUACUUACUACUUUGUACCUGCUGGCAACAGGUCGAGAUUCUACUGGAGUCACACCAAAAACAAUAAGGAUUUAUUUAACGAGAAUAAUUUGUUAUUAACGUUUGAUAACACAUGAUGCUUUUACAGUUCUAGGCCUUCCCCCUGAAUGGUUUGUAUCUGUGAUGGCCACAGUGAAGAGUUUGUAUGCCCAUGUAUUUUUGACAGCACUCGAAAAGAAAGUAUAUAUUCUUCUUUUCAUGAAAAAUGUGCAAUGUGUAGUUCACACUGGACCGAGGUGUGAAUUGCUUGGAAAGUGAUGGCUUUGCGGGGCUUUAAAGUUGAACUGUUUAUUUCUCAGGUAAAUAAGAGUUCUCCUAAACGCUAUUAUUGGCAUGUUUUUGACCUUCUACGAUUGUAGCAGUAAUGACUGACAGGCAACACACGUGAAAGGUUUGGUGGAAAGAACAAAUAAAUAUUUUUGUUAUAAAUCUG